rnacentral:rRNA from 1 species
AUACAGAGGGUGCAAGCGUUAAUCGGAUUUACUGGGCGUAAAGCGCACGUAGGUGGCUAAUUAAGUCAAAUGUGAAAUCCCCGAGCUUAACUUGGGAAUUGCAUUCGAUACUGGUUAGCUAGAGUAUGGGAGAGGAUGGUAGAAUUCCAGGUGUAGCGGUGAAAUGCGUAGAGAUCUGGAGGAAUACCGAUGGCGAAGGCAGCCAUCUGGCCUAAUACGGACACUGGGGUGCGAAAGCAUGGGGAGCAAACGGGAUUAGAUACCCUGGUAGUCCAUGCCGUAAACGAUGUCUACUAGCCGUUGGGGCCCUUGAGGCUUUAGUGGCGCAGCUAACGCGAUAAGUAGACCGCUUGGGGAGUACGGUCGCAAGACUAAAACUCAAAUGAAUUGACGGGG